GGGGGAGCAAGCGUUGUUCGGAUUUACUGGGCGUAAAGGGCGCGUAGGCGGCCUCUGCAAGUCGACUGUGAAAUCUCCGGGCUUAACCCGGAACGGUCAGCCGAUACUGCAGGGCUAGAGUGCAGAAGGGGCAACUGGAAUUCUCGGUGUAGCGGUGAAAUGCGUAGAUAUCGAGAGGAACACCUGCGGCGAAGGCGGGUUGCUGGGCUGACACUGACGCUGAUGCGCGAAAGCUAGGGGAGCGAACGGGAUUAGAUACCCCGGUAGUCCUAGCCUUAAACGAUGAAUGCUUGGUGUCUGGGGUUUUAUAGUCCCCGGGUGCCGUCGCUAACGCUUUAAGCAUUCCGCCUGGGGAGUACGGUCGCAAGACUG
rnacentral:rRNA from 1 species